rnacentral:lncRNA from 1 species
AAACAUCUAUGUCAUUUCCAGGCUACUUUGGACCAGAUAUCAUCAUAGACAACAUCAUGUACUUUCUCUUCAUGCACAAUGCAGGAGAUAAAUUGUAAAUUAUCAAUAUAACUGGCCAUCAACUAUGAUUGGUACUUAGAUUACCAAAUGGGUUCAUUCCAUCAAUGGCUAAACCAAGCCUAAGAUUUCUACAUUCUUGACCAACACUGGUGCAAAAACGGGCUAUAACGUCAUGCGGUCAACGUCUUACCAUCCAAUUCGCAACGUUAAAAGUGACCGAUGGCAUUAC